AUUGUUCAAACACGUAGGCAAAGAGCCAGGAAAUUAGCUUAAAAGCAGUUUAUGGAUGGGAGGUGGGGCAGAUCUCCAGAGCUAUCCUGCCGCCAUCCCAGAGUGCCCCGUAUAAUGCUCAUGCUUGGAACCCUAUGUCCAAGUUGUAAGGAAGCCCAAGCAGCCCAUAAAGAGGCCCACGUUAAGAAGAACCAGGACCCACAGUCUAAGUGAACUCUCAGCUAAUAGCACCAUUUUGCCAACCAUGAGUCAAACUGGCAGCUUCAAGGACCUUGGCUGAAAUUGGUCCAUUUGGAUAUGUGUGCUUGUUUCUGCAAUGUCCUGAAUGACUGUGGGAAAGGGCUUCACAAGGCUUCAUAAGACACCUGGAUCUCAUAUCUGCUUCUGCAUUCAAUCUGUUGCACCAAGUUGUUUUGACUGAAGGGUAUGAAGAAAAACUGGCCUCAUCCAAAUAUGCGGUUGGAAAAGGGUGGAGUAUUUUAACAGCCCUUCAAAUAAUUAGUAGAGAACACAGUUUGAACCACUUCUUACUGAACUGGGGAAACCGACCCCUGACAGAUUGAAAGAUGAGGCUUCCUUGAAUGAGAGAAGUGCUACCUAAUAUCGUCGGUGGGAUGGAGUCAGGAAUGGGACAAAGACAAAGG
rnacentral:lncRNA from 1 species